rnacentral:rRNA from 1 species
UAGGGAAUCUUCGGCAAUGGACGAAAGUCUGACCGAGCAACGCCGCGUGAGUGAAGAAGGUUUUCGGAUCGUAAAACUCUGUUGUUAGAGAAGAACAAGGACGUUAGUAACUGAACGUCCCCUGACGGUAUCUAACCAGAAAGCCACGGCUAACUACGUGCCAGCAGCCGCGGUAAUACGUAGGUGGCAAGCGUUGUCCGGAUUUAUUGGGCGUAAUGCGAGCGCAGGCGGUUUCUUAAGUCUGAUGUGAAAGCCCCCGGCUUAACCGGGGAGGGUCAUUGGAAACUGGGAGACUUGAGUGCAGAAGAGGAGAGUGGAAUUCCAUGUGUAGCGGUGAAAUGCGUAGAUAUAUGGAGGAAAACCAGUGGCGAAGGCGGCGCUCUGGUCUGUAACUGACGCUGAGGCUCGAAAGCGUGGGGAGCAAACAGG